rnacentral:rRNA from 1 species
AGUGAACGCUGGCGGUAGGCCUAACACAUGCAAGUCGAACGAGUGGCGGACGGGUGAGGAAUGCCUCGGAAUCUACUCUGUCGCGGGGGAUAACGACUGGAAACUUACGCUAAUACCGCAUACCAUCGAAUGAGCCGAGGUCGGAUUAGCUAGUGGGCGGGGUAACGGCCCACCAAGGCGACGAUCCCUAGCUGGUCUGAGAGGAUGAUCAGCCACACUGGAAAUGAGACACGGUCCAGACUCCUACGGGAGGCAGCAGUGGGGAAUAUUGCACAAUGGGCGCAAGCCUGAUGCAGCCAUGCCGCGUGGGUGAAGAAGGCCUUCGGGUUGUAAAGCCCUUUUGUUGGGAAAGCGGUACCCAAAGAAGAAGCACCGGCUAACUUCGUGCCAGCAGCCGCGGUAAUAC